CUAAUUGAAAAUUGUAGUUCGCUACAGUAGCGAACUACAACUACUUCGCUACAACCCACCCUUGACAAUUUAAAAAUAGUUAUCAAGUACAAAAUGCUAUUGCUCUAUGACGACUUUCAGUUAUAUUUUAGGUCAAGGAAUCGCCAUGUGCCGGAGGGUUCACCGGAGCAAAAGCAGAUUUGUAAAUUACAAAACUUUAUCUUUGACUGAAAAGUCGACUCAAAAUUGCUGUGUUGAUAAAUACUGCAAUAAAAUAUGUGAUAUUGUAUUAUGUAGUUCAGUGGCCACGAUAGUCAGUACUCGC